rnacentral:sRNA from 1 species
CUUGGUCAUUUAGAGGAAGUAAAAGUCGUAACAAGGUUUCCGUAGGUGAACCUGCGGAAGGAUCAUUACCUAGAGUUUGUAGACUUCGGUCUGCUACCUCUUACCCAUGUCUUUUGAGUACCUUCGUUUCCUCGGCGGGUCCGCCCGCCGAUUGGACAACAUUCAAACCCUUUGCAGUUGCAAUCAGCGUCUGAAAAAACAUAAUAGUUACAACUUUCAACAACGGAUCUCUUGGUUCUGGCAUCGAUGAAGAACGCAGCGAAAUGCGAUAAGUAGUGUGAAUUGCAGAAUUCAGUGAAUCAUCGAAUCUUUGAACGCACAUUGCGCCCCUUGGUAUUCCAUGGGGCAUGCCUGUUCGAGCGUCAUUUGUACCUUCAAGCUCUGCUUGGUGUUGGGUGUUUGUCUCGCCUCUGCGUGUAGACUCGCCUUAAAACAAUUGGCAGCCGGCGUAUUGAUUUCGGAGCGCAGUACAUCUCGCGCUUUGCACUCACAACGACGACGUCCAAAAGUACAUUUUUACACUCUUGACCUCGGAUCAGGUAGGGAUACCCGCUGAACUUAAGCAUAUCAAUAAGCGGAGGAAAAGAAACCAACAGGGAUUGCCCUAGUAACGGCGAGUGAAGCGGCAACAGCUCAAAUUUGAAAUCUGGCGUCUUUGGCGUCCGAGUUGUAAUUUGCAGAGGGCGCUUUGGCAUUGGCAGCGGUCCAAGUUCCUUGGAACAGGACGUCACAGAGGGUGAGAAUCCCGUACGUGGUCGCUAGCCUUUACCGUGUAAAGCCCCUUCGACGAGUCGAGUUGUUUGGGAAU